CCGUUGGUGAACCAGCGGAGGGAUCAUUACAGAGUUGCAAAACUCCCUAAACCAUUGUGAACGUUACCUAAACCGUUGCUUCGGCGGGCGGCCCGGGUCCUUCCCGGCGCCCAUCGGCCCUCGCGGGCGCCCGCCGGAGGUAAACCAAACUAUUGCAUUGUAUGGCCUCUCUGAGUCUUCUGUACUGAAUAAGUCAAAACUUUCAACAACGGAUCUCUUGGUUCUGGCAUCGAUGAAGAACGCAGCGAAAUGCGAUAAGUAAUGUGAAUUGCAGAAUUCAGUGAAUCAUCGAAUCUUUGAACGCACAUUGCGCCCGCCAGUAUUCUGGCGGGCAUGCCUGUUCGAGCGUCAUUUCAACCAUCAAGCCCCGGGCUUGUGUUGGGGACCUGCGGCUGCCGCAGGCCCUGAAAUGCAGUGGCGGGCUCGCUGUCACUCCGAGCGUAGUAGUUACAUCUCGCUCUGGGCGUGCUGCGGGUUCCGGCCGUUAAAAGCCUUAUUUACCCAAGGUUGACCUCGGAUCAGGUAGGAAGACCCGCUGAACUUAAGCAUAUCAAUAAGCG
rnacentral:rRNA from 1 species